GCUCUUAUGCAGUCCUCUGUUAAGUGGAUCCGAUAAAAACGCGAGUGGCGAUGCUGGAGACCUUGUCCAAAAUGCAGAUAAUACAUGGGAAGGCUAUGUAAAGGAGACUGCAUCUUUUAUAAUUUCUGAUGAUCUAUCUGUAACUCCUGCUAAUUUCAACACAACAUUGUGUCUGCUAAAGAAUCUACGCUCUGAAUGUCUACCGGAGGAAUCCACUGUAGUUCUUAGUUCAAAUGAGAUUUUGGACCUACUCAAGUACUUGUUGAUCUCCAAGACGGCACUCACAGAUUCAUUGUUAAGAAAGGAGCACAGCCUUAUGUAUUCCGAUACCUCGUUCAA